rnacentral:lncRNA from 1 species
AAAGGGAUAGUCGGACUUGGAACGGGGUCCGAGGCCUCGAAAGUCCACAUCUAGCUACUGGGUGGUCCGAUUCUGAGUGAUCUCGAACUUUCUUGUCCACAAAAGCCGAACGGUGACGCCCCAGACUCGGUUUCUUGGUUCCGUCCCAAAACGCCGAAGAAAGGCACAAUGGCCUAGAAAGGGACGGUCGGACUUGGAACGGGGUCCGAGGCCUCGAAAGUCCACAUCAAGCUACUGGGUGGUCCGAUUCUGAGUGAUCUCGAAGUUUCUAGCCACAAAAGCCGAACGGUGACGCCCCAGACUCGGUUUUUUGGUUCCGUCCCAAAACGCCGAAGAAAGGCACAAUGGCCUAGAAAGGGACGGUCGGACAUGGAACGGGGUCCGAGGCGUCGAAAGUCCACAUCUAGCUACUGGGUGGUCCGAUUCCGAGUGAUCUCGAAGUUUCUUGCCCACAAAAGCCGAACGGUGCGCCCCAGACUCGGUUUCUUGGUUCCGUCCCGAAACGCCGAAGAAAGGCACAAUGGCCUCGAAAGGGACGGUCGGACUUGGAACGGGGUCUGAGGCCUCGAAAGUCCACAUCUAGCUACUUGGUGGUCCGAUUCUGAGUGAUCUCGAAGUUUCUUGCCCAGAAAAGCCGAACGGUGUCGCCCUAGACUCGGUUUCUUGGUUCCGUCCCAAAACGCCGAAGAAAGGCACAAUGGCCCAGUAAGGGACGGUCGGACUAGGAACGGGGUCCGAGGCCUCGAAAGUCCACAUCUAGCUACUGGGUGGUCCGAUUCUGAGUGAUCUCGAAGUUUCUUGCCCACAAAAGCCGAACGGUGACGCCCCAGACUCGGUUUCUUGGUUUUGUCCCAUAACGCCGAAGAAAGGCACAGUGGCCUAGAAAGGGACGGUCGGACUUGGAACGGGGUCCUAGGCCUCGAAAGUCCACAUCUAGCUACUUGAUGGUCCGAUUCUGAGUGAUCUCGAAGUUUCUUGGCCACAAAAGCCGAACGGUGACGCCCCAGACUCGGUUUCUUGGUUCCGUACCAAAACGCCGAAGAAAGGCACAGUGGCCUAGAAAGGGACGGUCGGACUUGGAACGGGGUCCGAGGCCUCGAAAGUCCACAUCUAGCUACUGGGUGGUCCGAUUCUGAGUUAUCUCGAAGUUUCUUGCGCACAAAAACCAAACGGUGACGCCCCAGACUCGGUUUCUUGGUUCCUUCCGAAAACGCCGAAGAAAGACACAAUGGCCUAGAAAGGGACGGUCGGACUUGGAACGCAGUCCGGGGCCUCGAAAGUCCACAUCUAGCUACUGGGUGGUCCGAUUCUGAGUGAUCUCGAAGUUUCUUGCCCACAAAAGCCGAACGGUGUCGCCCCAGACUCGGUUUCUUGGUUCCGUCCCAAAACGUCGAAGAAAGGCACAUUGGCCUAGAAAGGGACGGUCGGACUUGGAACGGUGUCCGAGGCCUCGAAAGUCCACAUCUAGCUACUCC